CCAGACUCCUACGGGAGGCAGCAGUGGGGAAUAUUGGACAAUGGGGGCAACCCUGAUCCAGCAAUUCUGUGUGCACGAAGAAGGUUUUCGGAUUGUAAAGUGCUUUCAGCAGGGAAGAAGAGAGUGACGGUACCUGCAGAAGAAGCGACGGCUAAAUACGUGCCAGCAGCCGCGGUAAUACGUAUGUCGCAAGCGUUAUCCGGAAUUAUUGGGCAUAAAGGGCAUCUAGGCGGCCAGGCAAGUCUGGGGUGAAAACCUGCGGCUCAACCGCAGGCCUGCCCUGGAAACUGCGUGGCUAGAGUGCUGGAGAGGUGGACGGAACUGCACGAGUAGAGGUGAAAUUCGUAGAUAUGUGCAGGAAUGCCGAUGAUGAAGAUAGUUCACUGGACGGCAACUGACGCUGAAGUGCGAAAGCCGGGGGAGCGAACAGGAUUAGAUACCCUGGUAGUCCCGGCCGUAAACGAUGAUUACUGGGUGUGGGCAUGAAGAGUGUCCGUGCCGAAGCUAAUGCGAUAAGUAAUCCGCCUGGGGAGUACGGCCGCAAGGCUGAAACUCAUAGGAAUUGACGGGGGCCCGCACAAG
rnacentral:rRNA from 1 species